AUGGGGUGUGUUACAGAUAUGUGUAUCUUUUUUAUGCUGCUGUUGUUUGAUCAAGUGGAUAUGAGCUAGCCUCGUCCCUUUGCUUCUCGGCGGGCCUAUCACGCUCUAGAUGGCUAUGACGUCACUGGCCCUUCCUGCUCUCGCCCCCGUUCCCCCGAGAAGCCUGGCAGAUUCUUCCGAAAGCGCCACAAAUGGCGUCUAUCCCUUUGACUGAAGCGACGUCAUUUUUGGCAGCUCUAAAAAACAUGCUUUCUAUCAUCAAAGCUUUAAAGAGUAAGAAAUACCACAUUUUCUUCAUGGAUCAGCAGCUGGAUAUCCCACCAGUUAUAAGUCACCAAGAUUUGCUGCCAAAAAGUCAUUACAGCGACAUUCGAGCCAAGAAGUCCAAACAUCAUUUACAAAUAUGCACAUGAAUGCUGUUAACAUCCGUUGAUCUAGUAUCCCUCCUCCCUUUAACAUUUUUAUGAUCCUCAAAAUGAAGCGUCCAGCCAUCUAACCUUGGGACUGGGUGAUGACUUGUUCCUCUGCGCCGGGUCACGUACAGGGACGAGUCGAAGGGAGCUGCUAAAGACGAUAGACACUCUAAGUUUUCCCGACGCUGCCAUAUCAUCGAAACAUAAGAGCUUUUUAAAAAUGGGGCAUGUUCCUCUUGUCCCAUUAACUUGUCCCAUUUACUUCAUAAUAUUAUUGCCUAACGUAGUAAUUAGAUACAGGACUA